AUUGAUUGAUGCACAUUCAUCCUCAUCAGGCACCGUUGAUUUAUGUUUAUUAGUGCAAGGUUCUCCGUAUAUUAUAUAGGUUAAGGAGAUGAAUACAGAUAAUCGCUCCAACAUUUCCAACUAGAGACAUCUUUUGCAGCUAAUAUUAAAUGUUAAACAGUACAAAGUCCAUCAUAUAAUAAAGAUACGACUACUCCUACAUUUCUUGUGCUUAGCUUACUUAGUGAGGAUUUAGAUAUGAACCAAUAUAGUUACUGCAUUCACCAGUUACCUCUUCUACGAGAUUUAUGCAUUCCUAUUGGUCGAAACAAGGAGGAAAAUAUGGCAUCGGAAGAUUAUUUAAUACUCCAUUUUGCUGUAGGUUCAAAUCUUG
rnacentral:lncRNA from 1 species